UACAGUAUAUGGGUGCCCCCUAGCGUAUGAUUUGUUUUUGCUUCAAACAAGAUUCAAUUUAGAGGAGCCAUCCGACACGGAAACCGCUUCAGUCUCGUCUCUCGCAUCGACCAAACUAACGAGCAGCAUUUUUAAGUGAUGCCUGUUUGUUUAAAUUCUGUUUUACAUGACUUGGACGGCAACGCUUUGAGAGAUGCCAAAGUUGGAUUUACUUUUUCGCCACUCGAGCCUGUCCCAGCGGUGGUAGAACAAUUAUGUCUGUAUUCUAAAACAAAUUAGCCGGUUAGAGUCUGUCUACAUGACUAUUUUGUCGGUUUUAUUUACAGAUCCCGUCAACAAGGAGAGUCUGUAAAUAAAAAUAAAUACUGCGCAAAGCAUCGAGUUGUCGCGGAGCCAGUUUCGCUUUAAAUGACAGUGAAAAAGUUUGGGAGAAGACACAAGAGAGAAAGCUGUGGCAGCAUUCAACCCUGAGCCAGACAUGGCUCACAUGUGGCCCCAGAGGCAGCAGACGGUGUAUUGAAUUACUGUAACUGAAGGUGUAAUGUGGUAGCAGUGUGAGACAUGUACAAACUACACAAGCGGAUGUAGGGGAAGAUUACAUCAGCUUCAGGUUACUGUUUCAGCUAUUUAAUGUUAAAUCGUGUGGUUUGUUUUCUGAAAUUCCAGAUAUAAUGACACAGUCGUGACUUUGCACUUGAAUCACAUAUGUCUUACUAUCAUCAGACGCCGCUGCCAUGUGAAAACCCUGCAUCUCCAGCUUUCAUAACUGUCACGUUACUUUAAAUGUGUGCUGCACAUGAAUAGAAAACCCUUCAGACUUGACUGGAUCCGUUAAGAAAUGCUUGCCGUCAUCCGUUCCCUCUUUGUCUUCAAGACCUUGGGCAUUUUGGAAAUACAGGUUUUCCAUGCGGCAGAGGUAACUGUACUGUACAUACAGUGAGAGAAGCGGUGUUUCACUGUACAAAAUGUUCCUGAAGGAUCCAUUUAAGUAGCACUGUGCCCAGUGUUUAACCUGCCACAUCACACACUAAUAAACACUAAAAACAUCAUACAA